AUACGGAGGGUGCAAGCGUUACUCGGAAUCACGGGGCGUAAAGCGCGCGCAGGCGGUCUUUUAAGUUGGAUGUGAAAGCCUACGGCUCAACCGUAGAACUGCAUCCAAAACUAUUAGACUAGAGUGUGGGAGAGGAAGAUGGAAUUAGUUGUGUAGGGGUAAAAUCCGUAGAGAUAACUAGGAAUACCAAAAGCGAAGGCAAUCUUCUGGAACACUACUGACGCUGAGGCGCGGAAGCGUGGGGAGCAAACAGGAUUAGAUACCCUAGUAGUCC
rnacentral:rRNA from 1 species